rnacentral:tRNA from 1 species
CCGUCGGUGCCACGCGGGGUGGCGGCAUUGCUGGUGCUGUUGCUGCUGUUAGCGGCGUUGCCGUUCUGGCUGGCCUGACUGG